CAGCCGCCGCGGGAAUACGAAGGGUGCAAGCGUUAAUCGGAAUUACUGGGCGUAAAGCGUGCGUAGGCGGUUUGUUAAGUCUGCUGUGAAAUCCCCGGGCUCAACCUGGGAAUGGCAGUGGAUACUGGCAAGCUAGAGUGUGUCAGAGGAUGGUGGAAUUCCCGGUGUAGCGGUGAAAUGCGUAGAGAUCGGGAGGAACAUCAGUGGCGAAGGCGGCCAUCUGGGACAACACUGACGCUGAGGUGCGAAAGCGUGGGGAGCAAACAGGAUUAGAUACCCCAGUAGUCCCUGUCUCUUAUAC
rnacentral:rRNA from 1 species